GCAAUUCAUUGGAUUUGACCAUCAAAACCCUGUUCCAGGCACACUCAGGCAUCAUGGAAAAUGAUACCUAUUGUGGAAUCCCUCACUUGCUGAUGAAUAAUCUAGAAGAUCAGAAAUGUGGUACUAUUUUGGCUUUCAGGUAGAAAAGCACCCUGAAUCUAGCUUCCUGCUAUGAAUGAGUACUGAGCUUGGGAUGGUGAAAAUUGAUUUUCAAGAUAAAUAAGUAUGGCCAUAUUCUGAGGUUCCUGGAAUCAACUGUGUUCUGUUUAGGUGAUGGAAGCAAAGCUUACAUCUGAAAAUAACCUACAAAAAUAAUAUGUGAACACAUGGCACUUUGAGAUAGACUGAAAACAUGCUACUAUGUUCUAUGGAUCAAAAUGCAAAGCUAUCUGAGGUGUCGUCUGUCUUCAAAGCAAUGCAGCUGAAACUCUCGACUACGUUCUCCACAACUUCUUCAUCUUGCUGAUCUUCUCGGCCGGAUUCAGCUCAAAGAGGUGGCACCUCUGUGCAAUGUGAGAGCUCAGCAACUUCCCUAAACUGGUGGAGAAGAGAGUGUAGACAACCAAAGGCCGGGGCGUGCACCAAGGCCUCCUCCUCCAUGCGCCCUCCAUGGCUCGGGGCCAAAGGAAGGCAGCAGGCUCAGUCCUGGGUGGUGGGGGGCGGCUGGGGGCAUUUUCUUUGGUGCCUGGCUAUGCAA